UUCUCCUAGCAGAAAAGGAAGAAGAAGAGGGAACACAGAAACCAACCAACAGAAUCAAGACCUCGAGAAAACAGCAAGACCAAAGCAGCUAAUGAAGAGGCAGCCAGUAUGUGUGCAACCGUGGGUAUGCACGGGUGUGUGCACACAGGCAGGAUUGGAGGGGAACUAUAGAGAAGAAAUUAACAUUGAAAAUGCAGAGGUGGAACAUGCUGCAAAAUGAAAGGAAAAGCAUGCCAUGAAAAAUACAUCAGAAGGCACAAGUCAUUGCUGUACUUGUAUAAAGGCACUCCCAGAGGCCUGCUGUAUAUGUAGCACAUUCUGGAGCUCGCCCGAAGCUCACAUUCUGCUGGACAGUCCGUUGACAGGGAGCCUACCAGCAGUGCAACAGAAACAUCAGCCUCACUGGUCAGAGUGGGGGUGAACGAGCAUGUUAACAACGGAGACCCUCUGGAACCUGGAGUAAGGUGAUGUCACACACUGGACAAGCACACACUGCAGACAUCUUCAUAGCAAAUUUUGUAAAAACAAAACAAAAGAACCCUCUUGGAGGGCGCCUGGGUGGCUCAGUGGGUUAA